UACGUAGGGCGCAAGCGUUAUCCGGAAUUAUUGGGCGUAAAGAGCUCGUAGGCGGUUUGUCGCGUCUGCCGUGAAAGUCCGGGGCUCAACUCCGGAUCUGCGGUGGGUACGGGCAGACUAGAGUGAUGUAGGGGAGGCUGGAAUUCCUGGUGUAGCGGUGAAAUGCGCAGAUAUCAGGAGGAACACCGAUGGCGAAGGCAGGUCUCUGGGCAUUAACUGACGCUGAGGAGCGAAAGCGUGGGGAGCAAACAGG
rnacentral:rRNA from 1 species